GGGGAUGUGGCUCAGUUGGUAGAGCUCUUGCCUGUCAUGCACAAGGCCCUGGGUUUGAUCCCCAGCACCA
rnacentral:tRNA from 1 species